UUUGUUUCUCUUUCUCCAUCAUUGUCGUCAUCAAGAAACAUAGAGGAUCUCCCUUUGAAUUUCACUAGUCGUCGGAACCCUCUUACGACAAUCAACAAGCAAGGUGUUGAGAUGGCAAGUGGGAAAAGAUGGGAAAGUAUCGUUUAUUGAUGGUGCGACGCUUUAUGUUGAACUUGGCGUUGACCAGAAAAGUAGCAAAGACAUUAAACUUAGCAAAGGUAUGGCUUUGUUUAGUAAUUUUUUUAUUAUCUAAUGUAUAGAACAACUGUGUAACCCUUGUUUUCCAUGUGUAAUAAGUUGUUGGGGCAACAAACGAAAGAGAUCGACCUAAGAGUAGAAAACGAAAAGCUGUUAGGUUGGCGAGUCGAGAAUUAGUAAAUGUGGUGGUUUACUAAUAAAGGCAACGAGAAAAGUGGAGAUGGAAGGUCGACACAAUCUAAUUCUAUAAAGGAUGGUGUGCGUUCGAAACAUGAAAAAUUGGUGGUUUACUAAUAUCCCAUUUACGUCGUUAUUAUCUCUAUUUACGGAAAGCAUAAUGUUCAGGAGGGCAGCACAGAGACAGUAAAAAAGGUAUCAAAAUGUACCAAACGGAAGCAAAAAGACACGCCAACAUCAGAAAAAGAGAAAUAGGGGAAAUAGCCAAAAUAGCCAAGACUUGGUCAAAGUUUCAAGAAUAGCCAAUUCAAACGGCUCCAUAAGACGUUUCCUCAAGCCUGAAACGUCUCAAAGAAUAGCCACCCACCGAAAGCCACGUGUCCACAAGUGCUGCUGAGAAGUUUCAGAACUUAGAACUUUGCUGAGACGUUUCCCAAGCUGAGACAUUUCAGAACUUUGCUGAGACGUUUCCCAACCUGUAAUUCCUUCAUCUUCUCCGACGAGUCCUCCGGCCACCAUCACCUUCGUCGUCCAACCCCUCCACCACCUCCGUUAACCUGCAACUCCUCUCCGACGACACCUCUUCUUCUACGGCAACUAACGUCACCACAUGUGGGAAUUCACCUGAGACGUUUCACCCCAAAACAAAAAUAAAAAAGGGGUUUAAUUUGUUGAAAACCCGAGUAAAAUAAUGGAGAAAAAAAGGGAAAUUAGAUGGGUUGUUGUUGUUUCAUAUGAACAUAAGCAUCUGCAUAAUAAUAAUUAAUU
rnacentral:lncRNA from 1 species